UUUGUGCACACAAGUGUGUAUGUGGGUGGAAAUUUUGGGGUAUAGAGGAGUUGUAUGUGUUUAGUCAUGACACGGUGUCAUUCACGUGUCUUUGAGCUGAUAUCAGUUAGUUCAACUUGCCCUGUAUAAAGACAGUAGACAACCGGACUGGCAAACCCUUUCCUUGAGGAAAUCGACUACAAUAGGAGCUGAAAGUUCAGCUGAGGCUUUUCCUUCCUUAAUUGUCUGUGUGAUUCUGCCCUUCAACACGGUUUGGACUACUGCUCUUGGCUUGUGGUUUUUGUUUGAUCGUACUUCCGACUAACAUGUGAAGGCGGAUUAUCAAAAACUGGUAACAGAAGUCUUAUUGUGUCUCAUUGCAAGUUCUCGCGUGAGGAGAAGAUAAUACAGUUAAUCCAAGAACGUUUGUUGAAUAAUUCACAGCAAGGACCCACUCUACUCGCAGCAGCAAGCAGGCGAUCAGCAGCCCCCAACACUGUUAGCAGCGAUGAAUGCUGCCCCUGGAGAAACACCGGGAACAGCAGAAAUAUCGACAAAGGCGUAAAAGAAAAAAGGGGCAGGCUGGAUUUGAAUGUAUAUGUGUGACAUCAUCUAGUCGGAUCACUGAGAACACAGUAUUAAUUGCUCUGGUCGUUUUUUGGAGUUUUUUCAGUAGUUGAUUUAACAAUGGACAAGGAGAUUGCGAUCAUUGCGUUAGGAGCCAUGGUCUUUUGUGGAAUGGGCGUGGUAUGCACCCUGAUGUGGCUGCAUAGACGGACAUCUGAAGGAGUGGAGAAUGAUUGUGACACGGACACUUCGAUAACUUCCUCGGUGGAUUCUCUUACAAAGCAAGACUGAUGAUUAACAUUCGAAAUUGUUUUGAAGUGGAGCUACACGUUGACAGAGGAACAAAGUACGGAUGAAAAAAAAAACGUUUUUGGUUUUGGAACGUAUUUGUCCAUUUUUUCUCAUAAAACAAUAUGCAAGGGUAUACAGGGGACAAAAAAUCAUUCCACGCCGUUGGUUGGGGGGGGGCGUAGGGAACUUAAAUAAAAGAGACGCACCUAUAUGUGUUAAGGAGAGCAUGUUAUUAAAUAAUGCUGGACUUACAUUUUGAUGUUUUGUUGAGAUACAUUUCUUUGAUAUUAUAACAAUAUUCCGUGGCUUUUUUUGUAUUAGUUGCUGGUGUUACUUCAUUGCUUUUACUGUUCUGUUGGAAAUUGCACAGCAUUAUUAAACGCCUAAUAUGUAUACAUAAUA